AAACAACGUUGCCACACGCGAAGAGCACGAAGAUUUCUGGGGCUUUGGAGGGAAUCGUGAGCGGGCGGGAGGAGGCCGGGGACCACACAGAGAAUAACUUGUCUGAUUACCAGUAUUCUUGGAUGCAGAAGUGCUGAAGAUGAGCACACACACGUACGGAGAAUUUCUGGAGAAUUCAGCUGCUCAGAACAAGAACUGAGAUCCAGAGAGAUGAUGACUUUGCCCAUAGACCAAACAAAGAAAUACAUGUUUCAGUCCUGUGUCCUUCUGCUAUGUGUGUCCAGAAUUGGUGGGUUCUUGGUCUCACUGACUUCAAGAAUGAAGCCGCGGACCCUCACAGACCGUGUGUGAAUGCCUGCUCUGUGAGCCCUCAGAAUCUACUGGCCGAAUGAGUGCGUGAAGGAGGAAAUGUGCUCAGAGCUGCUGUGUGUCAUCCUGUGUUUGAAGUGCUCUUGCAGCUAUCAUUCGUCCUGUUAAGAAUUUGAAGAAGUGUGUGCACAAAGACGGAGUCUCACUCUGUUGCCCAGGCUGGAGUGCAGUGGCACAAUCUUGGCUCACUGC
rnacentral:antisense_RNA from 1 species